UGAAAGAGGUAUGCUGUCAAAGACCUAUGGUCGU
rnacentral:sRNA from 1 species